CCUACGGGUGGCAGCAGUAGGGAAUAUUGCUCAAUGGGGGAAACCCUGAAGCAGCAACGCCGCGUGGAGGAUGAAGGCUUUCGGAUUGUAAACUCCUUUUGUUAGAGAGGAUAAUGACGGUAUCUAACGAAUAAGCACCGGCUAACUCCGUGCCAGCAGCCGCGGUAAUACGGAGGGUGCAAGCGUUACUCGGAAUCACUGGGCGUAAAGAGCGCGUAGGCGGGAUAGCAAGUCAGAUGUGAAAUCCUAUGGCUUAACCAUAGAACUGCAUUUGAAACUGUUAUUCUAGAGUGUGGGAGAGGUAGGUGGAAUGCUUGGUGUAGGGGUAAAAUCCGUAGAGAUCAAAAGGAAUACUCAUUGCGAAGGCAGCCUACUAGGACAUAGCUGACGCUGAGGCACGAAAGCGUGGGGAGCAAACAGGAUUAGAUACCCCUGUAGUC
rnacentral:rRNA from 1 species